AUGCAGCCCGUGAACAAGAAACCUACAAAUCAAAAUGAAAAGGAAAAACCGUCCUGCUUCUGCUCCAGCAUCUCAGUACGCGGCGUCGACGAGCGCCUGGCGGUGCAGCUCGUUGUCGUUAUCGUCGCGGCUUAUGGAGCGGCGGCGGGCGUACGCGCGGCGCAGCCAGGCGACGUGGGAGGCGAGCGCGCCGCAGACGACGACGCAGACCUCCGGCAGGUUGCGCGGGAGCGGCAGCCAGAGGUUGAGCGGCCACAGCAGCGGCGCCGAGACCUGGAACACCUGCACGAAACCCUUGGCCGCCAUGAACGCCAGCAGGUGGAUCGCCAUCGCCGCCAACAGGAGCUAGCCCGAGUGCCCGACGGAUCGUCGCUCGCUGGGUGUGGGGCAAGGAGGAAAUGUGUUGAUUCAGAAUGGUGCUAUGUCGCUGCCGUGGUGGCGCGGUUUUGCUUUUGCCGGUGGUGGGGCGGGGCGGGGCGGGAGGUUGCGGCCUUCCCCGGGUGCGAGCGGGAAGAUCAUUUUAUAUUGUUUUUUUAG
rnacentral:rRNA from 1 species